GGUAUUAAGUGGGCCUCUUUGUUGGAACGCGCAUUACGGCGCGACGAGUCCCUCUCCGCUUCUGCUACGGAGAAACGAUCAAUCGAUCGAUGAAGCUGAAAUGGUAAUGGGGCGAACGAAGCAUCCUCGAGGAGGAGGCGGAGAUUCCCAGGCUAUCGACUUCCAAUGCUCCGUGUCGGCUUCUCUGCAGGGAUCGAGGAGGAGGCGUUGGCGGUGUCGAGCACGACUCCCACGCUAUGCACUUCCGAGGUUGGAGAAUUCUUCUUCCCCUAAUCACUCCUUGUAGGCUCGGCAUGACGAUCUUGCCUUUUUCUGUUACACCAAUUCCUUUCCGAUGGUUCCUUUUCCGGUACAGAUCAAGAGGAGACGGUCCGGGAGCACGCCCGGUAGAGUAACCUUCUUCUAAUCCAUCCGUUCUUGAACCCAUUAUCCUCGUCCCUUUCCCAAAAUACUGUUCGUUUUCUUGUUGACAGCUGUUUCUUGCAGUGUGUUCGUCCACUCCAUCUUCCACCAAACUUGGUAUCCGUGGGGAACUGGUAACGACAUGUUAAAUGCUGCUAAAGAAUAUUGGUCUCUUUUCCUAAUAGCUUAAGGUUUUAGGAUUUGUGGCUAUCCAAUUAAAACUUUAAGAUAGUAUAUUGGGCUCAUGAGAUGGAUAGGAGCUCAUGAGAUGUGAUAUUAAAGUACAUAUUGGGCUCUAUUGGGGAUGUUGAAGCGUAUAUUGGGUUCUAUUCUACCUGCUUACAGGUUCUAGCAAGUUCUCACCCAAUUAAAUCUUUAAAAAAUGUUAUCAAAAUUCUGUAUGCUUAUUAUAUAGUUCGGAAAAUAUGAACAUCCAAAAACCUUGUAGUUCAGGUUGUUCUUGCAAAAAUGUUGUUCUUUUUGUUGUCUCAGGGCAAAGGAUCAUGCACUGCUUCAGCUUGUGUACAGUGCAUCUAAAGUGCUCUGUAUUAUCUAUCCCUCAUUUAUGGGAUUGUGUCAUAAUAGGUUGAGGGUGAUAAUAGACUGUUUGCAAAGCUAGGUGAGGUAUUUCAUGUUCAUAUUGAAAUUGUGCAGGAACUUUCUUUUGACUGAUGAACCUGAUUGACACUACCAAUCACCGAAAUCCAUGUAUUUGUUCCCAUCCAAAAUUUGGAAUUGUGCAUUCAGGGCCAUAUUAUUGUGAUAGGUUUCUCCCAAAGCCAGACCUUGUACGAGUUGAGGCUAUUUGUUGAAAACAGAAACCUUGACGAUGCUUCUCAAUCUUUACGUUGAUGCUAUCAGAAACAUACUACUAUGAGAAAAAAAAGCUAGCAUCUGGACCAUUCAUGUAGUUUUAUUAUUAUCUUAUCUAUUAAACCACUUGUGUUGUCUGACGAGAGUGAUUGGGGUAGUGAUGCUCUUGAAAGAAACUUCAAGCUGUUUUGUUAUGAUUUAUUUAUGAUGAUUUAUCUUCUUGUAGGCGAUAACAACAACAAUCGAAUGAGAUGCACAAGUUGGCUUAUUUUAAGCAAGAAAUAGAAAGACUAUGGAUGCUGAUAAAGUAAACUUAUGAUGCUCCAAAAAAAUAUUAUAGGAAACGUCAUAAGAUUUAAGUUUAGUGCAUGAUGAGUCAAUCUGGAUAGCCACUCUUAUCUAGAUUUUUGUGUCGCAAUCUCCCUCCUUUCUCUUUUAUUCUAUGCAGGAAUGAUCCAAGAGGACAUCAGUAAAUAAAAGCAUCACAAGCCGCAGGUGGAUUGGAGGAUCUCAUGCCAUACAUGAGCCUGACUUUAUUACAUCCUGGUUAACCCUCAAAAGGCCAACAAUUUAUCGAUUAGACAUCAAUCGAGUACUGAGAUCAAGACACUGGGAUUUGAUAUUUUGUUGCAUGGCACAAUGGGACCAAUUGCAGAAAAACUUGGCCAUGAUUGUUGAAGCGUGCAAGCGAUAGAUAUGUGUUAUAUAUAUAUAUAUAUAUAUAUAUAUAAACCAAGAAGAAAGCUCCUGUGAAGGACAAAUUAGUCUUGGAUUUCCACUGUACAUGGAUCAUCAAUUACAGUGACUCAUGCUGUUGCAAUAAUUCAUGAUAGGUUCGAGUGAUGUUGCUUUCUUUGAGGUUCACCAAUUGUAAUGAGAGAAAAAGAUAGGAGUCUUAUCACCUUGGAAUAUGGAAUCUUGGACAUAGGCCACACAGUAUGAGAGAGGGAGAGAGAGGAGAUUCCAAGUGGCUGAGUGCGCCAGGAAUGUGUGCGGCAAAACCUGUUGUCAUCACCUGAUGUAGCAGAAGUACAGAAGACAAGGAGCCUAUCGGUUUGCUUGCCUGUGAAGGAGAAGGAUGAACAACUGUUAUUGGGUCCACUAUCAAAAAGCUUAGAUCCACAACAGAGAGAGAGAGAGAGAGAGAGAGAGAGAGAUGGUUGUGUUAAUUUUUCUCUCUGCAAAUUAUUGUGUACUCUUAUCAUUCUUAUAGAUUAGGAAAAUAAACAUCGACUAAGUAGUCGAUUUUUACCAUUGAAUUCAAGAGGGUGGUGAAGUUUCCACGAUCCUUCUCCAUCCACCUCUUGGAGGUUCAUUGAACCCAGACUAUUUUUGAUAUAAAUCCAUGGAAUUCAAGAGGGUGGUGAAAUUUCCACGAUCCUUCUCCAUC